rnacentral:rRNA from 1 species
UACAAGGUGCUGCAUGGUUGUCGUCAGCUCGUGCCGUGAGGUGUCGGGUUAAGUCCCAUAACGAGCGCAACCCCUAUCAUUAGUUGCCAUCAGGUCAAGCUGGGGACUCUAAUGAAACUGCCUACGCAAGUAGUGAGGAAGUGGGGAUGACGUCAAAUCAGCACGGCCCUUACGUCCAGGGCUACACACGUGUUACAAUGGCCAGUACAGAGGGCAGCCACCCCGCGAGGGGGCGCUAAUCCUAAAAGCUGGUCCCAGUUCGGAUCGGAGUCUGCAACCCGACUCCGUGAAGCUGGAUUCGCUAGUAAUCGCGCAUCAGCCACGGCGCGGUGAAUACGUUCCCGGGCCUU